rnacentral:rRNA from 1 species
UACGUAGGGUGCGAGCGUUGUCCGGAAUUAUUGGGCGUAAAGAGCUUGUAGGCGGUUUGUCGCGUCUGCUGUGAAAAUCCGGGGCUCAACCCCGGACUUGCAGUGGGUACGGGCAGACUGGAGUGUGGUAGGGGAUACUGGAAUUCCUGGUGUAGCGGUGGAAUGCGCAGAUAUCAGGAGGAACACCAAUGGCGAAGGCAGAUCUCUGGGCCGUAACUGACGCUGAGGAGCGAAAGCAUGGGGAGCGAACAGG